CUCUCUUUGUUAUUUAUAUGUAUAUAAAGAGUUGGGCCUGCUCGGUGAAGUUUUUAACAGCUGCGGUAUUUUAACUGUACUAAGGUAGCAUAAUAAUUUGCCUUAUAAUUUGAGGCUAGAAUGAAUGGUUUGACGAAGGUUAAUCUGUCUCAACUUUAUUUUUUAGAAAUUAAUUUUCAUAGUGAAAAAGCUUGAAUUUUUUAAUGGGACGAGAAGACCCUAUUGAGCUUAUAAUUUUUGUUAGUGCUUUUAUUAAUAUUUAUAAUUGUAUUAUAUAAAUUUUAAUUGGGGUGAUUAAGGAAUAACUGAUUGGAAAGUAACUUCCUUAGAUGUGUGUAUUGUUAGAUUAAGUAACCGAUUAAUUAAUAUAUUGUAUUAGAUAUUGCUUAUAAUAUAGUUACCAUAGGGAUAACAGCGUAAUUUGCUUAGAGAGCUCUUAUUGAAAAGCAAGAUUGCGACCUCGAUGUUGGAUUAAAGUAACCUUAAGGUGUAGAAGCUUUAUAAGGUAAAUCUGUUCGAUUUUUAAAACUUU
rnacentral:rRNA from 1 species